rnacentral:rRNA from 1 species
AACGAACGCUGGCGGCGCGCCUAAUACAUGCAAGUCGAGCGAGAAGGUGUAGCAAUACACUUGUAAAGCGGCGAACGGGUGAGGAAUGCAUGGGUAACCUACCCUCGAGUGGGGAAUAACUAGCCGAAAGGUUAGCUAAUACCGCAUACGUUUCCGGAACUUCGGUUUCGGAAAGAAAGCAAUACCGUGGGUAUUGCGCUCCUGGAUGGGCUCAUGUCCUAUCAGCUUGUUGGUGAGGUAACGGCUCACCAAGGCUUCGACGGGUAGCUGGUCUGAGAGGACGAUCAGCCACACUGGCACUGCGACACGGGCCAGACUCCUACGGGAGGCAGCAGUAAGGAAUAUUGCGCAAUGGACGAAAGUCUGACGCAGCGACGCCGCGUGGGGGGAUGAAGGUCUUCGGAUUGUAAACCCCUUUCGGGAGGGAAGAUGGAGUGGGUAACCACUUGGACGGUACCUCCAGAAGCAGCCACGGCUAACUUCGUGCCAGCAGCCGCGGUAAUCUGAGUCGGAGAC